CUUUUGCUGCCUUUUCAAUAGCGGAGGAAAAGAAACCAACCGGGAUUGCCUUAGUAACGGCGAGUGAAGCGGCAAAAGCUCAAAUUUGAAAUCUGGUACCUUUGGUGCCCGAGUUGUAAUUUGGAGAGGGCAACUUUGGGACCGUUCCUUGUCUAUGUUCCUUGGAACAGGACGUCAUAGAGGGUGAGAAUCCCGUGUGGCGAGGAGUGCGGUUCUAUGUAAAGUGCCUUCGAAGAGUCGAGUUGUUUGGGAAUGCAGCUCUAAGUGGGUGGUAAAUUCCAUCUAAAGCUAAAUAUUGGCGAGAGACCGAUAGCGAACAAGUACAGUGAUGGAAAGAUGAAAAGAACUUUGAAAAGAGAGUGAAAAAGUACGUGAAAUUGUUGAAAGGGAAGGGCAUUUGAUCAGACAUGGUGUUUUGCGCCCUCUGCUCCUUGUGGGUGGGGGAAUCUCGCAGUUCACUGGGCCAGCAUCAGUUUUGGUGGCAGGAUAAAUCCGUAGGAAUGUAACUUGCUUCGGGAAGUAUUAUAGCCUAUGGGAAUACUGCCAGCUGGGACUGAGGACUGCGACGUAAGUCAAGGAUGCUGGCAUAAUGGUUAUAUGCCGCCCGUCUUGAAAAAAGAAACCAAAAAAA
rnacentral:rRNA from 1 species